rnacentral:lncRNA from 1 species
UUCUUUUCCUUUCUCUUUUUUUUUUCUUUUUUUUUUCUUUUCAUAAGGAGUAUGUAUUGACAUGUAUACAUCCUUCUAUUUUUUUUCAUUCAUUUUUUUUUCGUUUCUAUUUUCUUUUUCUAUUUUUCUUUUCUUUUUCUACCAACUUCUGAAAUAUUGCAAACAUAAUUAUUCAACCCCACACAACUCCAAACAAGACUCUUUCAACCCUUUGAAUAGGACUAUUUUUCUUUUCUUUUUCUACCAACUUCUGAAAUAUUGCAAACAUAAUUAUUCAACCCCACACAACUCCAAACAAGACUCUUUCAACCCUUUGAAUAGGGUGAUAUAACAUUGUUU